AGUUUUUUAGUAAAAGUUAUUAGAACUUCCACAAUCUAUUUUAUUUGUAACCAUUUUAAAUAUUUAAGAAAAAAUCCCACGGUUUGUUUUUAACCCAAUAAAUUAUAAAAAACCCAACUCAAACAAAUACUUACCAAACCCAUACCAAAAAAUAAAAAAAAUAAAGGAGUUAUUUGAGAGAGAACGAGGAUCUGAAACCCUAAAAUCUGGAUUUUAUCGCCACCGCCAUUCAUCUCUUUGCCGCCGUUGCCGCCAAAUCUCCUCCGUCAACGCGUCACCCGUUGGAGUUAUGAAUGGAGGACGAGGUGAUCGUGGAGCUUCUCAAUUCGUGGAACUCUCGCCUCUCGGGAUAGUAUUUCAGGGACGAUUCCAUUCAAAUAAUUGAGCACUCAGAGCGCGGUUUCUUCUUGAACUCGAUGGCACUGGCUGAGGAGAUCUUAAAGGUGAGUGAGAUGGAGUCUCUAGAAGCUUCAAUUGAAGCUGCGUUCAAAGCUAUCAGAUCUCGUGGAACUAAUUCUUAUGUCGUUCCAAGUCAUUACGGAAUUGACUGGUUUGAGUACAAGAGACAACCAAAGAAAGCAGACUAAGUGAAUGUGGAAGGGCCUAGCUUCGAUCUAAUCCCAAAUUGGAUAUAAUUUGGAAGAAAGACUUAAGAAGUGGAAGACUUGAAGGCCAAUACAGAAUAUAAUGGCUAUACUGUGGCGUCAAAUGUCAUUCAAUGGUUUUGGGAGGUGGUUAAAACUUUUAACAAGGAAGACAUGGCAAGAUUUCUGCAAUUUGUGACUGGAACAUCAAAAGUUCCUUUGGAAGGUUUUAAGGCCUUGCAAGGCAUCUCUGGUCCUCAGAGGUUUCAGAUUCACAAGGCAUAUGGAGCUCCGGAUUGAUUGCCGUCGGCUCAUACAUGCUUCAAUCAACUAGACCUUCCUAAGUACCUCUAAAGAACAGCUUCAAGAACGGUUGUUACUAGCCAUUCAUGAGGCCAGUGAAGGCUUUGGUUUUGGUUUGACUUCUAUCCUUCUCCCAUAUCUUUACAAAGUAGUUCUACCAUUAUGUCUUCAACCUGUCAUGUGGAGGUAUUGUUUUCAUUUCUUCGAAAAUUUUUAUUUUUUUUAAUCUUUCUCUCUCUUAAAAAUGAGUCAGUUACGAAGAGUUCCCUAUUUUUCAGAUGAUGAUGAAUGUGACUCGGCUGGCAGUUAUUUAUUUUUGUUGAGGACAGGCAGCAUCAAAUGAGGAAAUUUAUGAUGCUGUGUUGAUGUGUUCAUUAUCAGAUCAAUUUUGUAUAUAUGAUGCUGUGUUGAGGACAGGCAUUUGGUGUUGUAGAGUCAUUAUCAUAUCGAUUUUGUAUUCAUUUUGAUGUGGUAAGUAUUUUUCUUACUGAGCAACAUAUUGCUGUGUGUGAAUAUCAAUAAAUACAUAUCUUAUUGAGGAUGUUUAAAGAGGAAUUUAUGCUCUAUAUGUUUAAUUGCAUAAUAUCUCUCUCUCUGUGAACGAUCUUCUCGCAUGCUGUGGCUUUUUGUGUGGAUCUGGUUGUGAUGGAGGGUAUCCCCUAAAUGCAUCGCGAUACCUAGUCAGCCAUGGUGUUGUCACUGAAGAGGUUGGGACUAUUCUCUGGAUUGAGGAUGCAAAAGCUGCAAUCAAUGCUGAAGCAAAAUUUCUGAUGAGUCCAGCAAUUGUUAAGGAUGUUAUGUAUUACAUUCAGAAUGGUAAAGUUUUAUACAUUCCUGGCACAAUGACUUCAACUGAAAUAUUGUCUGCAUGUGAAGCAGGAGCUAAAAUUGUCAAGGUUGGCCUUCUAAUGUUCUGUUUAGUUUACCAUGUUGAAGAAUAUUCAAAUAAUAAAAUAUAGAUAAGAGUGUGUAUGCAGACUUGUUGCAUGGAGGAGUAUACACUUUUGGUUUUUCUUGCGUUGCAUUUUUUCAUCUGUUUUCGGCUCAUAUGAGGGAUGCACUAAUCUCCUGAUCCCGGUUCUAAUUUUUUUUAGAUCUGUGCUGAUAAUUUUCAUUUUACAUUCUUGUUCUUCUAUUAAUACAAGUAAUAUAAAGAAUCAAUUAAUAUAUAUUUAUCCAGUUUCUGCACUUGGAGGAUUUCAGUCCAUAUCAGCAAUCAAGAAGCCUUUUCCUCAUGUCUCUCUGGUUGCUUCUCAGGGGAUAAAUAUAGGUAGUUUUUAUAGUUUAGUGUUGAUCAUUCUCAUGAAUAUUUAUAGUUUUUAUAGGGGAUAAAUUUUGUUUAAAUAUGUAAU